CCCAGCAGAUCCACCUUGGGGAUCUCAAACUGUGGCCAGUCUGCACUGGCUGGAUGCAGAAUGAAAGCGGCGGGCUUUUAGAAAACUCUAAUAAAACCUUUGAUUAUACAUAAGGUAAAAAAAAAAAAAAAAAAAAAAAAAGUGAUCCUGCCUGCUCCCCGGCUCUGUGCUUUGCCUAAAUUUACUUCCCUGGAAUACGCUGGAGUUUGAUCUUUGAGAAAUGAUAUAUAAAAAGCCCACAUGUAAAAACUUAACUGUUCCAGCGAUAGGAUCAUAAUCUGCCUUUGAUCCUGUAAAUUGUUGAACCACAACUCUAUUCGUUGCCCAAGGACUGCAGGAAAUGUACGCGGGGUUAUGCAAAUCCCUAGGAGAGGGAAUGUUUUGCAGGAAGCGGGGGAAGAUGGCUCUUGCCGCAGCUGUCAGUCUCUGGAUGGCAGCUGAAUAGUUUGGCAGUCCCCGCUCUCUCCUGUGUCACCCCGCUGCCAGUUCCCACGGCUCCGACCCCUCUCUGCUCACCGUCCAGUUGUGCAAGUCUGCAGCGGCGAGCUUUUUUCAGAUCUCCCCCUGCGUGUGCUGGUGGCAUUUACAGGCAGAGUCUGCAAGCUCGGUCCUUCGUCUGCAUUCUUCUCCGAGCCACCACUGUGAGUGCUGUGUUCAUGUUUUGCCUCUAAAUCCCCACGACUUUUGCCGGCUGGGGAUGUUUGCAUGGGGUGAUAGGAGUUUUCUUCUGAAGACUGACAAAAGGACUGGAGCACAAAAAGAAAAAAGGAUCGUGCUCGUUUACAUGAGGCAAAGUGGCAGCAUCAGUACAUGUGACAAAGCAUCGUGA
rnacentral:lncRNA from 1 species